GACGAACGCUGGCGGCGUGCUUAACACAUGCAAGUCGAACGGAAAGGCCCUGCUUUUGUGGGGUGCUCGAGUGGCGAACGGGUGAGUAACACGUGAGUAACCUGCCCUUGACUUUGGGAUAACUUCAGGAAACUGGGGCUAAUACCGGAUAGGAGCUCCUGCUGCAUGGUGGGGGUUGGAAAGUUUCGGCGGUUGGGGAUGGACUCGCGGCUUAUCAGCUUGUUGGUGGGGUAGUGGCUUACCAAGGCUUUGACGGGUAGCCGGCCUGGGAGGGUGACCGGCCACAUUGGGAAGGGAAUACGGCCCAGACGCCUACGGGAGGCAGCAGUGGGGAAGAUUGAACAAGGGGCGGAAGCCGGAUGCAGCAACGCCGCGGGCGGGAUGACGGCCUUCGGGUUGUAAACCGCUUUCGCCUGUGACGAAGCGGGGGUGGCGGGAAUGGGUAAAGAAGCACCGGCUAACUACGG
rnacentral:rRNA from 1 species